GUUGAAGACAGGAUGUCCGCUCGCUGAAUACAUAGGCGGGUGAGAAGAGUACCCGGUGAACUGAAACAUCUUAGUAGCCGGAGGAAAAGAAAAGAAUUUAAUCUUUUAUCAAUGUUGGCGGUGCUUCGUCAAUCUUGAUAAGAGAUUGUCAUUCCCUUAGUAGUGGCGAGCGAACGGGGAACAGUCCAAACCACUGUAGACCACGCAUGUUUUUUUUCACUUCGGUGAGAUGAAGUAUGCUGAAGGAAUUGAGUCCAUAUGUCUAUGUGGUGUUGCAAGGCUGGUGUGCUGACUACUCAAUGCGGUCAGGCAGAGAACGAUUUGAUUAGCCGAAGCGAACUGGAAAGUUCGGCCGAAGACGGUGAUAGCCCGGUAGGCGAAAAUAAUUUCUACUCUGUGAUACCAGUUCUUAAGUAUCGCGGGACUCGUGAAAUCCCGUGAGAAUCCGGGUCGACUAUGACCCAAGACUAAAUACUUUUUGAGAUCGAUAGUGAACUAGUACCGUGAGGGAAAGGUGAAAAGCAUCCCGGUGAGGGAGAUGAAAUAGUAUCUGAAACCAUGUACUUACAAGCAGUCGGAGCCCGGUUUACCGGGUGACGGCGUGCCUAUUGAAGAAUGAGCCAACGAGUUUGUUGCAUGCGGCUUGAUUAAUUCGCCGAAGGCGAAGUAGUCUCAGUGAAAGCGAGGGUUAAUCGCCCGUUAUCUUACUUAUUAGAAAUGGCAAUGAAAUUUUUGUUGCCUUUCUAAUAUGUAAGAGUGUCGCAUGUACAAGACCCGAAGCCGGGUGAUCUAGCCAUGGCCAGGUUGAACCUUGUAGAAAUACAAGGGGAGGACCGAACCCGUAAGUCGUGCAACACUUUGGGAUGAGCUGUGGUUAGCGGAGAAAUUCCAAUCGAACUCGGCAAUAGCUGGUUCUCCUCGAAAUAGCUUUAGGGCUAGCCUUGAGCGCUGAACAUAGGGGGUAGAGCACUGAAUAGAGGCGGGGCGCAAGCUACCGUCUUUAACCAAACUCCGAAUACCUAUGCGUGAAGCUCAGGAGUCAGACUGUGGGGGCUAAGCUCCACUAGUCAAAAGGGAAACAGCCCAGAUCGCAAUCUAAGGUCCCUAAAUAUAUACUAAGUGUUAAAGGUGGUGUCGUGACUGCGACAACUAGGAGGUUGGCUUAGAAGCAGCCANNGCGCCGAAAAUGUAUCGGGGCUAAGUAUAUUACCGAAGAUGCGGACUCUCCAUGCGAAUGGAUGAGUGGUAGAGGAGCAUUCCAAACCCGCUGAAGCCGUAGUGUGAGCUGCGGUGGAGGAUUUGGAAGAGAGAAUGUUGGCAUAAGUAGCACAAAGGCGGGUGAAAACCCCGCCCACCGAAAGUCUAAGGGUUCCUGGGCAACGCAACUCGACCCAGGGUUAGUCGGUCCUAAGGCGAGGUCGCUGUAGUGGCGACGUAGUCGAUGGAUGAGCUGGUUAAUAUUCCAGCACUACUUCAGUUUUCCGAUGGGGGGACGAAGUUCCGUGAUUCAAGCGUUUCUAUGGUAUGAACGUCGCUAGCCGCAAGAAUAGAUCCAGGCAAAUCCGGGUCGAUAUUUCAAGCGGUCGGCGGAAGACAAAGCCCUCGGGUGGCGUCAAUUUGAAUAAAGGAGCUUCCAAGAAAAACCUCUAGGGUUAAGGCUGAAGUAUCCGUACCGUAAACCGACACAGGUAGACGAGGCGAGAAGCCUAAGGUGUACGAGAGAACCCUUGUUAAGGAACUCGGCAAAACAGCGGUCGUAAGUUAGCAAUAAGACCUGCCCGGAGCAAUCCGGGCCGCAGCGAAAGAUUUCAAGUGACUGUUUAUCAAAAACACAGCUCCCUGCUAAAUCGCAAGAUGAUGUAUAGGGGGUGAUGCCUGGCCAGUGUCCGAACGUUAAGAGGAGAGGUUAGUCCUUCGGGGCAAAGCUUUGAAUUUAAGCGCGGAUGAACGCCGGCCGUAACUAUAACGGUCCUAANNGGGUAAGUUCCGACCCGCACGAAUGGCGUAAUGAGAGAAGCACUGUCUCAACGAGGGACUCGGCGAACAUUGAAGUACGUGUAAAGAUGCGCGUUACCCGCAGCUGGACAAAAAGACCCCGUGAAGCUUUACUACAACUUGAUAUUGAGUUAGGGAUAUGUCUGUUCAGCAUAGGUGGGAGCCUUCGGGCGCCAGUGAGAUACCACCCUGACAUGUUCUUAAUUCUCACUUCGCUCCCUGAAUCGGGAGAGAGGACAGUAUCUGGUGGGUAGUUUGUCUGGGGCGGAUGCCUCCUAAAAGGUAACGGAGGCGUUUACAAAGGUCGGCUAUUCCGGGAUGGAAAUCCGGAAGAUAGUGUAAAGGCACAAGCCGGCUUUACUGCAAGACCCACAAGUCGCGCAGUUGCGAAAGCAGAACUUAGUGAUCCGACCGUACGAAAUAGAACGGCGGAAGCUCAUCGGAUAAAAGCUACUCCGGGGAUAACAGGCUAGUCACGCCCAAGCGUCCACAGCGACGGCGUGGUUCGGCACCUCGAUGUCGGCUCGUCGCAUCCUGGGGGUGGAGAAGCUCCCAAGGGUUAGGCUGUUCGCCUAUUAAAGCGGCACGCGAGCUGGGUUCAGACCGUCGUAAGACAGGUCGGUCUCCUCUCCACUAUGGUCGCGGAAAUUUGAGAAGGCUCUUCCCUAGUACGAGAGGACCGGGAAGGACGAACCACUGGUGUGCCAGCUGUUUUGCCAAAAGCAUUAGCUGGGUAGCUAUGUUCGGAUGAGAUAAGCGCUGAAAGCAUCUAAGUGCGAAACUCACCUCAAAACAAGGUAUCCCUGGGGCUUCGGCCCCCUAAAGACCCCUUAUAGAUGAUGAGGUUGAUAGGCUGGGUGUGUAAGUGGAGCGAUCCAUUGAGCUUACCAGUACUAAUAGGUCGUGAGGCUUGAUC
rnacentral:rRNA from 1 species